rnacentral:rRNA from 1 species
UACAGAGGUCUCAAGCGUUGUUCGGAUUCAUUGGGCGUAAAGGGUGCGUAGGUGGCGCGCUAAGUCAGGUGUGAAAUUUCGGAGCUUAACUCCGAAACUGCAUUUGAUACUGGCGUGCUUGAGGACUGGAGAGGAGACUGGAAUUUACGGUGUAGCAGUGAAAUGCGUAGAGAUCGUAAGGAAGACCAGUGGCGAAGGCGGGUCUCUGGGACGGUACUGACGCUGAGACGCGAAAGCGUGGGGAGCGAACAGG